rnacentral:lncRNA from 1 species
UAUCUAUUUUCUAGAAAAUAUCUCAUGAUUUGCUCUCAUUCUUCAUCGAAUCACAUGAAGAGAUUUAGCAAGAAUGGAAUUUCUGUUCUUUAUUACUUUAACAAAAUAAGAUGAAAUUUUACCUAACUACGUCUAUGAAAUAGCCAUAUGGCUAUUUCAUAGUAUGAAUCUAGCUAAUUUUAUGCUGACCCGUAAUCGAGCAAAGAGGAAUGCUCGAUUCAGGUCAGAAGUAUUAACUAGUAUCCACGUUGUUAUUGUUAUUGCCAAGUUCGA